rnacentral:rRNA from 1 species
GACGAACGCUGGCGGCGUGCCUAAUACAUGCAAGUUGAGCGCUGAAGGUUGGUACUUGUACCAACUGGAUGAGCAGCGAACGGGUGAGUAACGCGUGGGGAAUCUGCCUUUGAGCGGGGGACAACAUUUGGAAACGAAUGCUAAUACCGCAUAAAAACUUUAAACACAAGUUUUAAGUUUGAAAGAUGCAAUUGCAUCACUCAAAGAUGAUCCCGCGUUGUAUUAGCUAGUUGGUGAGGUAAAGGCUCACCAAGGCGAUGAUACAUAGCCGACCUGAGAGGGUGAUCGGCCACAUUGGGACUGGGACACGGCCCAAACUCCUACGGGAGGCAGCAGUAGGGAAUCUUCGGCAAUGGACGAAAGUCUGACCGAGCAACGCCGCGUGAGUGAAGAAGGUUUUCGGAUCGUAAAACUCUGUUGGUAGAGAAGAACGUUGGUGGGAGUGGAAAGCUCAUCAAGUGACGGUAACUACCCAGAAAGGGACGGCUAACUACGUG